ACGAACGCUGGCGGCGUGCUUAACACAUGCAAGUCGAGCGGAAAGGCCCUUCGGGGUACUCGAGCGGCGAACGGGUGAGUAACACGUGAGUAAUCUGCCCUUGGCUUUGGGAUAACUACCGGAAACGGUGGCUAAUACCGGAUACGACCAGCCUCUGCAUGGGGUGUUGGUGGAAAGUUUUUUCGGCCAGGGAUGUGCUCGCGGCCUAUCAGCUUGUUGGUGGGGUAAUGGCCUACCAAGGCUUCGACGGGUAGCCGGCCUGAGAGGGUGACCGGCCACACUGGGACUGAGACACGGCCCAGACUCCUACGGGAGGCAGCAGUGGGGAAUAUUGGACAAUGGGCGGAAGCCUGAUCCAGCAACGCCGCGUGAGGGAUGACGGCCUUCGGGUUGUAAACCUCUUUCAGUACCGACGAAGCGCCGAUGAUGGUGGUGACGGUAGGUACAGAAGAAGCACCGGCCAACUACGU
rnacentral:rRNA from 1 species